rnacentral:lncRNA from 1 species
UAAUUUUGGGAAAAUCUUACAUGUUUUACAGCGAGGGGUUAGUAUGUUGAUAAAUGAAAUGUUUUUGUAAAACAUUUGUUUUUGUCCACUCACGUUUUCUGUUUUGCGCCCCUCCAGGUUUUAAGUAAGUUAUUGUUGGUGGCUCGGGAUCAUCGGCAGUUCUGACCUAUUUGAAUAAUAGUAGGACAUUCCUGGUAUUGUGUAACUAGUACUUGUCCUACUGGACUGCAUCUAGACUUAUUAUGCUCUGAUUAGGAGUGUUCACUGUUGUAACUAACUCAUAUCACUUUCGUUUAGUAGUGCACUCUAGUAAUUUGGUUUUUAAUUAUUCGUAUAUUUACUAUCUUUAUCGCUUCCGCACUGUGCACAUGGCUACGUCACUCACAUGACGGCUAGCAUGCCUUGACCUCAGUCGGGGUGUGUCAUACUCUUUUGGAUAUUCUAUGUCUAAAACAAUUGAGGUCGGUAGAGUUCAUUUUUGCUCCCAGAGUUUGUAAUAGGGCAACAUAUCUAGUGGCGUCUUUUGCCUUCAGACCUAGGAUAACUUUGAACUAUAGUGGUUGUUCAAUACUCUGGCUUCUGAUGUAAAUGUUUCUAUUCAAAUUUAAUACAAUUUCACUUUCGACAAAAAAAAAAAAAAUCAUUACUUCUCUUAUUUCAUUUUUUGGUGAGAAAAAGUUUAAGGGGAGGGGGCUACCCUAUCCCAAGGUAGGACAUAAAAUAAAGUCUCUUUAAAUUUGGAUUUAAAAAGAUACUGAUAGUUUAAUUAAAAAUGAUAUGGGUGUAGAAAGUAAGUCAGGUGUAGAGAGAGGUUAUAGGGAUUCAAAUAUAGUUUCCCUUACAGAAGGGGUCUUAGUCUUUUUAUUUUUUAUUUUUAUAGGUCGCCCACCAAGAGAGAUUGCCGAUAGUGAGACUCGAACCUAGUCUUUGGUCUAGCGAAGAAAAUCCAUACACCUUCUCUUCUUUUACUAACUAAAUCCUCUCCAUAUAAUUUCAUUAUUUUCUUACAGGGUGUUCUUGUUUAUCUAAACUUUGCUUGUGCAGAACAUUGUUGAACAUCAGAGUGAGUCUAGGCUUCAUUGUAUCCACAAGGCAUAUUUGCAAUUCCCCUUUGCAACUCGCUAUCUUUCAUACUUCUUCCUAGCCAUUACGCACUUAUUUUCCUACACUUAAAAGGUAAAAAUGUGUAUGAAUGAUUACAAGGCCGUUUCUAAAAUUUUGGGAACCUAGUCGAAAAAUUAUAAACGAGCCCUUUUGCUCCAGUACAAUGAAUAAGUCCUAAUUACAUAAUCUCACAAAAGUAUACGGAAAUUGUAAAAAAGUAAUCAUUAUUAGAGUAUCAUACUUAAAAGAAAUUUUAAAGUUAUGUGAUCAAUCAACAAAAUCAUUAGUGAACAUAUAAAAGAAACCAUGAAGCAAAACAAAUGAUGAACAAAUCAAGGUAGAAACUAAAACACUUAUCCAAAUUGCAAAAAACAAUUAUGGUAGACCUGAAUAAAGGCAACUUUUAAUUUUGCGGAACAAAUGAUGCUAAAGCCUUAAUCUCUCUAUCUCUCUCCCUUCUUUCUGCCCAAACAAGAAAUAAAAUAGUCAAAUUCCAUGUAUGAGUCAAAUGUAACCAUGUAUGACUCAAAAUUCGGGGGCCUUUAGAGGUGGGGCCUGUACAAUUGCACAACUGAAAGUUGGGGGGCUCUUUAGAGGUGGUGCCCUGUGCAAUUGCACAAGUUGUUCCGCUCAAAGUCUGCACUGAAUGAUUAAAUAAUUUCAUUGAGAAUGAUGAGUUUUCUCAUUGCAUAUAUACAUUAAUUUACGAACUUAACUUUCAAUUUGUGGAUAUAUGGUCUGAAUCAUGGGAUUUGAGUGUGUCAAUCUUCUACAAGGCCCGACCUCAAGAAGAGAUAGUAGGUGCUCGGAAAAUUUUAACCA